AAAGAAAUCGUUAAGGGCGUAUGGCGGAUGCCUAGGCUUUCAGAGGCGACGAAGGACGUGGUAAGCUGCGAAAAGCUGCGGGGAUUGGCACACACGAAUUGAUCCGCAGAUAUCCGAAUGGGGCAACCCGGCAUAUUGAAGAUAUGUCACCUCGUAAGAGGAGCAAACCCGGAGAACUGAAACAUCUAAGUACCCGGAGGAAAAGAAAUCGAAGAGAUUCCGUAAGUAGUGGCGAGCGAAAGCGGAUUAGCCCAAAAGUCUUUUUAUGUUUAGAGGAAUGUUCUGGAAAGAACAAUCAUAGAAGGUGAUAAUCCUGUACUCGAAAGGCAUAUAGAGAUGAUAAAUGAGUAGGGCGGGACACGUGAAAUCCUGUCUGAAUAUGGGGGGACCAUCCUCCAAGGCUAAAUACUCCUGAAAGACCGAUAGUGAACAAGUACUGUGAAGGAAAGGUGAAAAGCACUUCGAAUAGAAGGGUGAAAUAGAACCUGAAACCGUACGCCUACAAGCGGUCGGAGCAGCGUAAUGCUGUGACGGCGUGCCUUUUGCAUAAUGAGCCUACGAGUUAAUUUUACUAGCGAGGUUAAGGUAUUAAGUACCGGAGCCGGAGCGAAAGCGAGUCUGAAUAGGGCGCAUAGUUAGUAGGAUUAGACGCGAAACCUUGUGAUCUACCCAUGGGCAGGUUGAAGCUCUGGUAACACAGAGUGGAGGACCGAACCGGUUGACGUUGAAAAGUCUUCGGAUGACCUGUGGGUAGGGGUGAAAGGCCAAUCAAACUGGGAGAUAGCUCGUACUCUCCGAAAUGCAUUUAGGUGCAGCGUCGUAUAUAAGUUUAUUAGAGGUAGAGCUACUGAUUGGAUGCGGGGGUUUCAUCGCCUACCAAUUCCUGACAAACUCCGAAUGCUAAUAAAUGUUCUACGGCAGUGAGGGCAUGGGUGCUAAGGUCCAUGUCCGAGAGGGAAAGAACCCAGACCAACAGCUAAGGUCCCAAAAUAUAUGUUAAGUUGAAGCAACGCGGUUGGACUGCAUUGACAGCUAGGAUGUUGGCUUGGAAGCAGCCAUUCAUUUAAAGAGUGCGUAACAGCUCACUAGUCGAGCGGUCCGGCAUGGAUAAUAAUCGGGCAUAAACAUAUUACCGAAGCUAUGGAUUUAUAUUUUAGAUAUAUCUGGUAGGAGAGCAUUCUAUUUGCGCCGAAGCAGUACUGUGAGGUAUUGUGGAGCGGAUAGAAAAGAAAAUGUAGGCAUAAGUAACGAUAAAGCAGGCGAGAAACCUGCUCACCGAAAGACCAAGGCUUCCUCAGCCAUGCUAAUCAGCUGAGGGUUAGUCGGGACCUAACGCGAACCCGAAAGGGGUAGUGGAUGGACAAUGGGUUAAUAUUCCCAUACUUGCUCACAAUAAAAGGGGACGGUUGGAUGUAGCUGCUGGAGACUGACGGAAUAGUCAAGGCCUAGCCUUCGGGCGAAGCUGCUGUAGUGUAAUCUGAUCCAAGAAAAGCCGAAGUGAAGCAACCCGUACCAAAACCGACACAGGUGGUCGAGGAGAGAAUCCUAAGGUGCUCGAGUGAGUCGUGGCUAAGGAACUAGGCAAAAUAGUCUCGUAACUUCGGAAGAAGAGACGCCAACAGCAAUGUUGGCCGCAGUGAAGAGGCCCAGGCGACUGUUUAUCAAAAACACAGGACUCUGCUAAAUCGAAAGAUGCUGUAUAGGGUCUGACACCUGCCCGGUGCUGGAAGGUUAAGGAAGGUGCUUAGCGUAAGCGAAGGCAUUAACUGAAGCCCCAGUAAACGGCGGCCGUAACUAUAACGGUCCUAAGGUAGCGAAAUUCCUUGUCGGGUAAGUUCCGACCUGCACGAAUGGUGUAACGAUCUGGGCACUGUCUCAGCCACGAGCUCGGUGAAAUUGUAGUAUCGGUGAAGAUGCCGAUUACCCGCAAUGGGACGAAAAGACCCUGUGAACCUUUACUAUAACUUCGUAUUGACUUUGAGUAAGUAAUGUGUAGGAUAGGUGGGAGGCUUUGAAGCAGGCACGCUAGUGUUUGUGGAGCCGACGUUGAAAUACCACCCUUUACUUACUUGGAGCCUAACUUCUUUCAGAAGGACAUUGCGUGGUGGGUAGUUUGACUGGGGUGGUCGCCUCCAAAAGAGUAACGGAGGCUUUCAAAGGUACCCUCAGCACGCUUGGUAACCGUGCGUAGAGUGUAAUGGCAUAAGGGUGCUUGACUGUGAGACCUACAAGUCGAUCAGGUGCGAAAGCAGGACAUAGUGAUCCGGUGGUUCCGUAUGGAAGGGCCAUCGCUCAUAGGAUAAAAGGUACUCCGGGGAUAACAGGCUAGUCUCCCCCAAGAGCUCACAUCGACGGGGAGGUUCGGCACCUCGAUGUCGGCUCGUCACAUCCUGGGGCUGGAGAAGGUCCCAAGGGUUGGGCUGUUCGCCCAUUAAAGUGGCACGCGAGCUGGGUUCAGAACGUCGUGAGACAGUUCGGUCUCUAUCUAUUGCGGGCGUUAGAUGUUUGAGAGGGCUUGAUUCUAGUACGAGAGGACCGAAUUGAACAAACCUCUGGUGUAUCAGUUGUACCGCCAGGUGCACCGCUGAGUAGCUACGUUUGGAAGAGAUAAGCACUGAAAGCAUAUAAGUGCGAAACUCGCCUCAAGAUGAGACAUCUUUUAAGGGUCGUUGUAGAUGACGACGUUGAUAGGCUAUAGGUGUAAAGACAGUAAUGUCAUAGCCAAGUAGUACUAAUUACCCGUAGAUUUAUAGUC
rnacentral:rRNA from 1 species